UGUUGAAAGCUGAUCUGUAGUAUGCACAAUUCUGAACUGAACAUUUCAUUAUUAAUGAAUGUUUUAGCUUUGAGGUUUCAUUAUGAGUUGGAUAAUAAUACUUUGGUAGCUGCAUGGAAAUUAUGCUUUCAGUGUGGAGAGUCGUGAGUGAAUGACUAUGCGAAACUGACUCAAAUGAUGUACGUCAUCAGAUUGCAUUCUUGAAGGUUGAAAAACCGUCCAUUAUUAUUGAAGCACUCUGCUCAAAGAUCGCGCCCAGCUUAUAAUAUUUGCUGGAGAGUUAAAAUGUCACAGGAGAACCAUUCAAUUACGUCUGUAUAAAUUUGGGAAGAAACAGGAAUUCUGUAACUGAACUGGGAAAAAGAAAUGCUGCAGGGGCUCAGUUUUUACCAUGUCACGAGAAGGCUUAAUACCCGGAUCAGACUUGAUUAAAUUUUGACAUGACGAUAAAUGGAUCUUAAAUAUUAUUGAUCUUUUGUCUUGGAAGCAUUUGCCAUGAAACGAAAUCUUCUCUAACGGAAGAUACUGCCGUUUUUGGUGGAAUAAGACUUUUUUUUUGUCCACUUCGGACAUCUAGAAAGUGGCAAAACCAUCAUAAUCAAGACCGUAAAGAAUCCGUUUAUCCAUUUACGGAAGAUUUUGCAUUUAAAAACUGGAAGACACUAAAAUUGAAGAAUGUAAUAGAAAAUCGCAUGUGAAAAAAACAAAUAUUGCUCAAAGAAAUUUAGUGUAAGAUGGAUCUUUCUCAACAUGGCUAAGAAAUGAUUUUAUAUCGACAUCAAGACUGGAGUUCAUCGCUCUUACGUAUAAAAGAUAUCAAUGGAGCAACAUCGAACGGUAUUUUUUGCUGACAGCUUGGGAACUUAUAAAUUAUCUCUUGCAAAAUCUAUUAAGAUGAUUUACUACUAAUUAUAAACUUGACUUGGCAGCCGAGGGAAAUGCAAUUCAGAUAUCUUUAAAACUGUGUGCACUGAUCUUAAAAAAAAUCUUAUUUUACAUUGCUUUCUGAAAUUUUGCAGGU